ensembl:lncRNA ARHGEF35-AS1 ARHGEF35 antisense RNA 1
ACGGGAGGAGGGCACCCACCUGGUCGGUGUCACAUGCUGCUUCGGCCCCAGCGUCCCCUCCAGGUCCCGGCGCCGGCCGCAGUCCCCAGAGCCGUCCCCAGCGCAGGCCCGGCCGCCCCACCCGCGGCCCGCCCCUGGCCGCCCGACGGGAGGGAGGGAUCGGGUUCUCCUAGGAAGUUUCAGGUCAUUCAACAUUUAUUCAACCAAAAAUACUAAGUCAGCUCUAUACAAACUAAUGGAAGGAUACAGCUAUGCAAAUAUAGAACACUAAAGUGUUACAUGACAGAUGUAUGAGCAGAACUGGGAAGAAAGGACCCUGAAAAGUUAGCUGGUUCCAAGUGACCCUCCAAGGGGAAGAGUGCUGGAUUCAGAGCCCACCUCAGGGGAAGACAGGACCCUCUCCAAGAUGGUUUCCCUAGAAGCUACUACCUCUCCCUGGAGGGUGGAGAUAUUUGCUGGUCAAAGAUAUUAAAGUAAUUGUGAAAUAAAAGAAAAAAUUGUCUGAUAAAACCACAUCUCAUAGAAACCCAA